rnacentral:lncRNA from 1 species
AGCCAUCAAAUACUGUAUGUCCAGCUGUGGGUAGCAUCGCAGAGAAGGCAUAAAUUUUUCAUUGUAUGCGAUGCGACCCGUUGGUGGGUAAACACUUUGAGGUUACCAGUUCGUUUGGGUGUUCUCCCAGAUAACACUCUGCUCCUCUCGUUUCACUGGCUUGACCAGCACUGACGUGAUGACAAUUUAUUUGUAUCAGUGCAGGAGAGCUCGUUGCGCUGCUAAUCACAGGGAAUGUGUUAAAUAUCAAGUCACGUCAAAUAAAAAUUGCUUUAUUCAAACUUGCCUGAAUCGAAAGUUGACUGUACUUUAUAAUAACACUACCAGCAUUUCAUUUUUCAGCUUCACCAGAAGCAGAUAAGAAAUAUUUGAUUUUCAGUUGACUAUACAUAACAUAAGAAUCUCGUGUAACAACUUUGAAAGUUUUUUAAUUAAUCUGCUGAUAGUAUGUCAUAUCUUACAAAGUAAAACUGCAGUGUGGAUCUUUAAAAAUUACUACAUGAAGUCAUGAACUAUAUUUGAAGUGCAAUCCAAAAGUUUCAAGACUGUUUCAAUAAGUAAAUUAUGGGAUAUGUCAUGUUAUGACCUCUGUUGUAUGAUAACAUAGGAAAAUAAGUAUUGGAUCUGAUAUUGUUAUCAUGAUGAACUAUCAAGAUUUCAUAACACCCACUUAUGGUUGUUACUCAGAAAUCUAUUUUGGAUUUUUUGUUCAGCGUCUUUCUUGUUUCCAGCAUAUUUUAACUGAAGCUUCAACUUAUGGGAGUAGGAUGAAUUGUGAAGCUAUCAAUUACUGGAUAGACAUAGAAGUAUAGGAUGGAAAGGUGUUAUGGCACAAAGGCCACUUUUUGCACAUCACUUGCCUGGUUAUUUCCUUUGCUAUUUUUUAUCAGAAGUUUCAGGAGAUUAAUCUAAGAGUUAGUUCAUUGCCUGACAAGCAGGGGGAACUCCAAGUGAAUAAUUCCCUUCAUGUCAUAGAAACAUAUUAGCGGAUACUUGACAUUGUUUUUGAUAUGCCAUUAUUUUUUCUGUCAGGAUGAACAUCUCUUUCUUUGGAAUAACUGCCAUUUUGUCUCUGGGUUAUAGCCAUAGGCCCAACUUUCAUCACCCGUGAUGAAAGCUUGUAAUCACAUUAAACACAAUCUUGGAGAUUUCUGUAAACAAUCAACUUCAUGUUAUUUCCUCCGGGAAAGUUACGUUGAUGUGACCAGGGCCCGUAUUUAUAAAACUAUGAUUCAACAGAAGGGAAACAUAAGUUCACAAGAUGGCGGACACCAUGACUUACAUGAAACAUAAGUCUUAUGUCUCAUGUUAGGUCAUCAUAAACUCGCAUUCCCGUUAUGUUUGGGUGGGAGCAAGAAUAGCAUCGCUAUGUCGAAUCAUAAAGUCAACAUGGCGGAGGCAGUGGGACAGCGACGACGCCACCUGAGAAGUUUUUGUGAUUGUAGAGACGUGUUGGCUGAACUAAGUGACUCAGAACUGAUAAGAGGUAUCAGUUAGAGCGUGCAGCCAAGGUAUAUGGGGCUGACAUGCAAGGAUUCUUAGGGAAAGUGAACUCCAGCAGGGGUGUGAGAGGGAGACGGUGACAGCUGGAUGCCGCCUUGAGGGGAACAGUGGUUACCCUAGUAAAAAGUGGCUUCUGACAUAUAUCUUCGACCUCUGCCUGCCCCACACUCCAACUACAAUAGAUGGUGCUCAACCUCUACAACCCUUUGCUACAUCAUCCACUGAGACGGUGGAUGUCUCGGCAGCAGCAGGAGGUUCAGCGUGUUAGGCGUUGGAAGUGCUGCUGUAGCAUUUCCAUCUAUACUGUUAUGAACAAUGACAACAAAUGUUAGUUAAACCAUCACAAGCAUAUUUAUUGCAGAUCUAUCUCACUAUCUAUAUAAGAGGUAAACAAUCCUUUCAAGCAGGAAGUAUCUUCCUGCCCCCAUACUCCUCAUACACAGUGUAAGUGUAUAUGGUGUGUGUGUGGUUGCCUCAUUUUUGCUGUCCUCCUGGAGGAGGGUGUUGGCUUUGUCUAUACAUAGAUAGAUAGUUAAUGUCCUUACACUUAAGUUAUAAAGAUAUUUUGUAUGCUCUUAUUGAUAUUUUCAGCAGUAGGGUAAUGUACUGUUAUUGUGUUGCAGACAGGUACUGAGUGUACUUGUCAUUAAGACACAUUCAUGUGUGGAUGCAUUUCUUGUGAGCUGCCAUUUCCAACCUUCCAUAAUUGAAUAUCAACAUAGGAAAUUCUUCAUAUCAAUGAGACCCAUCAAUUUGAUUAGGUUAAGUUACUGGAAGUUAUACUCUGUUAGUUUAGGGUUAAAGUUAGUUAUGUGUAAGGUGGCAGUUGUUGUUGUUUAUACCUGGAAGUAUUAAAUACAAUAAAUGGAUAGUUUGUU